CCCCUCUCAGAGUCACACCUGGAGAGUUUCCAUUACUCUACCAGUCUCGAUUCUAGGAGAGAGAGUCAAGCAGAGGCAUACCCAUUCCAUUCCUAGCUUGGCCACUGGCUAGCGAGUGGAAGGCUAUCUACGACAAGU